AGCCAAGUAGCGUGCAGGAUGACGGCCCUAUGGGUUGUAAACUGCUUUUAUAUGGGGAUAAAGUGGGGAACGUGUUCCCUUUUGCAGGUACCAUAUGAAUAAGGACCGGCUAAUUCCGUGCCAGCAGCCGCGGUAAUACGGAAGGUCCGGGCGUUAUCCGGAUUUAUUGGGUUUAAAGGGAGCGUAGGCUGUCUAUUAAGCGUGUUGUGAAAUUUACCGGCUCAACCGGUGGCUUGCAGCGCGAACUGGUCGACUUGAGUAUGCAGGAAGUAGGCGGAAUUCAUGGU
rnacentral:rRNA from 1 species